rnacentral:rRNA from 1 species
AUGGCUCAGGAUGAACGCUAGCGGCAGGCUUAACACAUGCAAGUCGAGGGGCAUCGGGAGUAGCAAUACUUGCCGGCGACCGGCGCAAGGGUGCGUAACGCGUGAGCAACAUGCCCGUAUCAGGGGGAUAAUCCAUGGAAACGUGGUCUAAUACCCCAUAGUAAUUAUGUAAGGCAUCUUAUAUAAUUUAAAGCUUUGGUGGAUACGGAUUGGCUCGCGUGACAUUAGCUAGAUGGUAAGGUAACGGCUUACCAUGGCUACGAUGUCUAGGGGUUCUGAGAGGAAGGUCCCCCCACACUGGAACUGAGACACGGUCCAGACUCCUACGGGAGGCAGCAGUGAGGAAUAUUGGACAAUGGAUGGAAAUCUGAUCCAGCCAUGCCGCGUGCAGGAAAGACGGCCCUAUGGGUUGUAAACUGCUUUUGUAUGGGAGCAAUAAGGGCUACGCGUAGUCCGAUGAGAGUACCAUACGAAUAAGCACCGGCUAACUCCGUGCCAGCAGCAGC